rnacentral:tRNA from 1 species
GCGGCAGUGGUCUAGCGGUAGGACACGGGCCCCCCAAGCCCGUAGCCCGGGUUCAAAUCCCGGCUGCCGCA